UACGAAGGGGGCUAGCGUUGUUCGGAAUCACUGGGCGUAAAGCGCACGUAGGCGGAUUGUUAAGUCAGGGGUGAAAUCCUGGAGCUCAACUCCAGAACUGCCUUUGAUACUGAAGAUCUUGAGUUCGGGAGAGGUGAGUGGAACUGCGAGUGUAGAGGUGAAAUUCGUAGAUAUUCGCAAGAACACCAGUGGCGAAGGCGGCUCACUGGCCCGAUACUGACGCUGAGGCACGAAAGCGUGGGGAGCAAACAGG
rnacentral:rRNA from 1 species